rnacentral:rRNA from 1 species
UACGGAGGGGCGAGCGUUAUUCGGAAUUAUUGGGCGUAAAGGGCGCGUAGGCGGCCUUGUAAGUCAAAGGUGAAAUCCCUCGGCUCAACUGAGGAACUGCCUUUGAAACUGCAAGGCUUGAGGCCGGGAGAGGGUAGUGGAAUUCCCGGGUGUAGUGGUGAAAUGCGUAGAUAUCGGGAGGGAACACCAGUGGCGAAGGCGACUACCUGGGCCGUGUUCUUGACGCUGGAGGCGCGAAAGCUAGGGGAGCAAACGGG